GAUGAACGCUGGCGGCGUGCCUAAUACAUGCAAGUCGAGCGAACGGACGAGAAGCUUGCUUCUCUGAUGUUAGCGGCGGACGGGUGAGUAACACGUGGAUAACCUACCUAUAAGACUGGGAUAACUUCGGGAAACCGGAGCUAAUACCGGAUAAUAUUUUCAACCGCAUGGUUCAAAAGUGAAAGACGGUCUUGCUGUCACUUAUAGAUGGAUCCGCGCUGCAUUAGCUAGUUGGUAAGGUAACGGCUUACCAAGGCAACGAUGCAUAGCCGACCUGAGAGGGUGAUCGGCCACACUGGAGCUGAGACGCGGUCCAGACUCCUACGGGAGGCAGCAGUAGGGAAUCUUCCGCAAUGGGCGAAAGCCUGACGGAGCAACGCCGCGUGAGUGAUGAAGGUCUUCGGGUCGUAAAACUCUGUUAUUAGGGAAGAACAUAUGUGUAAGUAACUGUGCACGUCUUGACGGUACCUAAUCAGAAAGCCACGGCUAACUACGUG
rnacentral:rRNA from 1 species